GGGGGGGCGGCUGCUUACCAUGCAGUCGAACGGCAGCACGGGUGCUUGCACCUGGUGGCGAGUGGCGAACGGGUGAGUAAUACAUCGGAACAUGUCCUGUAGUGGGGGAUAGCCCGGCGAAAGCCGGAUUAAUACCGCAUACGAUCUCUGGAUGAAAGCGGGGGACCUUCGGGCCUCGCGCUAUAGGGUUGGCCGAUGGCUGAUUAGCUAGUUGGUGGGGUAAAGGCCUACCAAGGCGACGAUCAGUAGCUGGUCUGAGAGGACGACCAGCCACACUGGGACUGAGACACGGCCCAGACUCCUACGGGAGGCAGCAGUGGGGAAUUUUGGACAAUGGGCGAAAGCCUGAUCCAGCAAUGCCGCGUGUGUGAAGAAGGCCUUCGGGUUGUAAAGCACUUUUGUCCGGAAAGAAAUCCUUGGCUCUAAUACAGUCGGGGGAUGACGGUACCGGAAGAAUAAGCACCGGCUAACUACGUGCCACGC
rnacentral:rRNA from 1 species